UUUUAUUUAAUUUUUUUAAACCAGAUCAUUCAGCCCUGGCCAAGAGAAGCUGUCCAGAUCCCUUUCUCAGAGACAGCGUGAGGGUUCCUCAGGGUCUUCCACUCAUGGACGGAGGAGUCUGUUCAAGUCACCUUUGCAGAAACGGAGGCGGAGUUCCUCUGAGUCCUUCUCAUGGCGUCAGAAUGCUUCUGAACCCACAAGGAGCAGUAGGAGUGACACCCCGAGAACGACUAUCGACCGAAGCCUUAGGCAGCCUCCUGAGAAGUCUAUGAGAGCUGAAAGGGAUCCCCCAAAUGCUGCCAAGGCGAUGUCGACGCAUGCACACUCAAACAACUUGAGGAAGGAAGACUUCCCGAUGUCUGAAAAAAAAUUUCAGAAGAGAGUUCUUCAGCUCCUUGUCGAAAUCAAGGAUACAAUUUGUGUUGCCACCGGAACAUCUGGAACAAGUUAUGAAGUGAAGCCGGCAAACACUGAAGAGCAGCUCAAAGCUUUAGAGAAUCGCCUGGAGGACAAGAAUGAGGGAGCAAAACUGAGUAAACAUCUGAAGAGGUUGGGAGGUGUUGAUGCUGCAGACCAUGUGAAAAAGUCAAUG